AUUGAACGCUGGCGGCAUGCCUUACACAUGCAAGUCGAACGGUAACAGAUCUUCGGAUGCUGACGAGUGGCGAACGGGUGAGUAAUACAUCGGAACGUGCCUAGUAGUGGGGGAUAACUACUCGAAAGAGUGGCUAAUACCGCAUGAGAUCUACGGAGGAAAGCAGGGGAUCGCAAGACCUUGUGCUACUAGAGCGGCCGAUGGCAGAUUAGGUAGUUGGUGGGAUAAAAGCUUACCAAGCCGACGAUCUGCAGCUGGUCUGAGAGGACGAUCAGCCACACUGGGACUGAGACACGGCCCAGACUCCUACGGGAGGCAGCAGUGGGGAAUUUUGGACAAUGGGCGCAAGCCUGAUCCAGCAAUGCCGCGUGCAGGAUGAAGGCCUUCGGGUUGUAAACUGCUUUUGUACGGAACGAAAAGCCCUGGGUUAAUACCCUGGGGUCAUGACGGUACCGUAAGAAUAAGCACCGGCUAACUACGUGCCAGCCGCCGCAGUAACAC
rnacentral:rRNA from 1 species